UGCAAUAGUAUUGUGUCUAAAAAAUGUAUUAAUUUAAAAAUAUUCCAUUGCUAAAAAAGUGCUGACCAACAUGUGAGUUUUCAGCCAUUCAAAAUUUUUUGCUGGUGGAGGGUCUUUCUUUGAUGUUGAUGGCCACUGAUGGAUCAGGGUGGUGAAGGUUGGGGUGGCUGGGGCAAUUUCUUAAAAUAAGACAACAGUGAAAUUGGCUGCACAAAUUGACUCUUCAUAAAAGAACAAUUUCUCCAUAAUAUGUUGAUGUUGUUUGAUAGCAUUUUAACUGAGGGUAGAACUUCUUUCAAAAUUGGAGUUGAUCCUCUCAAACCCGUUACUACUUUAUUGGCUAAUUUCAUGUAGUAUUUUAAGUCUUUUGUUCUCAUUUCAAUUGUCUUUACAGCAUCUUCACCAGGCAUAGAUUCCAUCCUAGCAUGUCAUUUUCUUUGCUUAACUAUAAGAAGCAACUCAUCUGUUAGAUUUGAUCACGAGAUUAUAGCAAUUCAGUCACAUCUUCAGACUGCAUUUUUUUAAAAAAAAAUUUUACUUUAUUUAAUAGGUAGGGAUAGUCUCAAAAAUCUUUCUCUUCAUCAGAUGUUUGACCCCCUUGCAAAACUUUUGGUCGCCCAGCUUGAAUGUGGAGCUUUACUCCAUCAAUAAUAUGCUUUUCUUGUUGUAGUGCAUUCUGAAGGUCUUCUUCUGAAGAAAAAUGAACCCAACCCAUACCUCUAUGAAAUCCUGUCUCUUUGUCAAAAGACAUGCUCCAGGCAGUGGUCAGAAUGUAAAGAGCCUACUUUGGAAAUCUGGUCAUUUGUCUUCUCUUCAAAAAAGAGGCAGGAUGGCUCACAUGGCUGCUCUUUGUUCACCCCAGCUCCUCAAGUAGCUUUGCUGACACUAGCACAGGGCAACAUACGACUUGAGGUGAGUCAGCAGGCAUUUGUUAUUUCCACCCUUCUCUUCCUCCUCCUUCUUCUUUUCACUGAAGUGUAAUUGACAUAGAAAAUCAUACAAAUCCUAUUAGUUUCAGGUGUACGUAAUAAUUCAAUAUGUUUAUGCAUUAUAAAAGGAUCUCUACGAUAGGUCUAGUUACUGUCUGUCACCAUACAAAGUUAUUAUAAUAUUAUUGACUAUAUUCCCUGGGAUCUAUGUUAUAUACCCAUGAUCUAUUUAUUUUAUAACUAGAAAUUUGUACCUCUUAAUCUCCUUUACUUAUUUUGCUCUCCCACUCAAUCUCUCCCCACCCUGGUAAUCGACAGUUGUUUCCUGUAUCUAAGAGUCUAUUUCUGUUUUUUUUUUUUUUUAAGAUUUUAUUUAUUUAUUCAUGAGGGACACACAGAGAGAGGCCAACACAUAGGCAGAGGGAGAGGCAGGUUUCCUGUGGGGAGCCCAAUGUGGGACUUCAUCCCAAGACCCUGGGAUCAUGACCUAAACCAAAGGCAGACACUCAACCAUUAAGCCACCCAGGUGUCCCGAGUCUGUUUCUAUUUCUAUUUUAUUUUAUUUGCUUAUUUGUUUUGUUUUUUAGGUUCCACAUAUAAGUGAAAUUGUACAAUAUUUAUCUUUCUCUGUGUGACCUGUUUCACUUAGCAUAAUACCUUCUAA
rnacentral:lncRNA from 12 species